GCUCAGAUUGAACGCUGGCGGCAGGCCUAACACAUGCAAGUCGAACGGUAACAGGAAGCAGCUUGCUGCUUUGCUGACGAGUGGCGGACGGGUGAGUAAUGUCUGGGAAACUGCCUGAUGGAGGGGGAUAACUACUGGAAACGGUAGCUAAUACCGCAUAACGUCGCAAGACCAAAGAGGGGGACCUUCGGGCCUCUUGCCAUCGGAUGUGCCCAGAUGGGAUUAGCUAGUAGGUGGGGUAAAGGCUCACCUAGGCGACGGUCCCUAGCUGGUCUGAGAGGAUGACCAGCCACACUGGAACUGAGACACGGUCCAGACUCCUACGGGAGGCAGCAGUA
rnacentral:rRNA from 1 species